CCCUACGGGGUGCAGCAGGCGAGAAAACUUUGCAAUGUGCGAAAGCACGACAAGGUUAAUCCGAGUGGUUUCUGCUAAAGGAACCUUUUGUCGGUCCUAGAAACACCGAUGAAUAAGGGGUGGGCAAGUUCUGGUGUCAGCCGCCGCGGUAAAACCAGCACCUCAAGUGGUCAGGAUGAUUAUUGGGCCUAAAGCAUCCGUAGCCGGCUCUGUAAGUUUUCGGUUAAAUCUGUACGCUUAACGUACAGGCUGCCGGGAAUACUGCAGAGCUAGGUAGUGGGAGAGGUAGACGGUACUCGGUAGGAAGGGGUAAAAUCCUUUGAUCUAUUGAUGACCACCUGUGGCGAAGGCGGUCUACCAGAACACGUACGACGGUGAGGGAUGAAAGCUGGGGGAGCAAACCGGAUUAGAUACCCGGGUAGUCCCAGCUGUAAACUAUGCAAACUCAGUGAUGCAUUGGCUUGUGGCCAAUGCAGUGCUGCAGGGAAGCCGUUAAGUUUGCCGCCUGGGAAGUACGUACGCAAGUAUGAAACUUAAAGGAAUUGGCGGGGGAGCACCACAAGGGGUGAAGCCUGCGGUUCAAUUGGAGUCAACGCCAGAAAUCUUACCCGGAGAGACAGCAGAAUGAAGGUCAAGCUGAAGACUUUACCAGACAAGCUGAGAGGAAGUGCAUGGCC
rnacentral:rRNA from 1 species